rnacentral:siRNA from 1 species
UCAAGGCUUCUUGAUACGAUCGAU